GAUGAAGAACGUGGCGAAAUGCGAUAAGUAAUGUGAAUUGCAGAAUUCAGUGAAUCAUCGAAUCUUUGAACGCACAUUGCGCCCGGUAGUAUUCUGCCGGGCAUGCCUGUUCGAGCAUCAUUUCAACCAUCAAGCCCCAGCGCUUGUGUUGGGGGCCUGCGGCUGCCGCAGCCCCCUAAAAGCAGUGGCGGGCUCGCUAUCACACCGAGUGCAGUAGUUCAUCUUCUCUCCGGUCUUGUGAGGCGGGUUCCGGCCGUGAAACACCCCACUACAUUCAAGGUUGACCUCGGAUCAGGUAGGAAUACCCGCUGAACUUAAGCAUAUCAAUAAGCGGAGGA
rnacentral:misc_RNA from 1 species